GUCGGCCAUGUUUGCUAUGUGAGUCUGCACUGUGUGCAGGCGUUUCAGUUUAACUGCAGGGUGGCUCUGCGGUGCCUUAACCGUGGGAAACGGUGCGGGAAGACACGCCAGCCCCUGGCUUCGCGGCCGCGGGCUCGCGUGGUAGCCCAGGAUGAUGGCGUCCUCUACCGCCGCCGCCCUACGGGUGCCGCGCGAGCCGCCGCCGUUGCACGAGCGCAGACGUUGGCUGAGUGGACGCGGGACGGGCCGGGAAGCUCCGAUUCCGGCGCCGCGGCGCGAGAAUCUUCAAGAAGCUUUGGAAGCGUUCUCAGCCACCUUCCACUUUCUCUUAGGUCGGCCACCACGGCCUCCACCGCCCCUCCUCGGCUCCCAUUCUCCUUACAGCUCCAGUCGGCCUCCAGUUACCCUGCUGUAGUUGCGGGAACCCGGAGCACAUCUAGCACGUAGCUGAGCUUUUUAAGUAAAAGGACCUAGGAUCCAACCAACACCCUCACCUUCCUGCCUCAGUUUACAAAUGCCGCCCCAAGGCGUGUUUCGGCACUACAGCCACGCACCUUGUUCCGGCACGGCUUCAACUCCUGUUACUUUAGCUCCCUCACCCCGCCAUCCUUAAAUAAAUCCGUGCACGGUCAGGAGUAUUAAUGGAACGGAGUAUGGCAGCGGAGACCGCUCUGUGCACCUGUGUACUUUAAAAAAAAAUUCUUAUUUUAUGGACAUAGGUGUCUUGCCUGCAUGUAUACCCGUGUGAGGGCAUCAGAUCUUGGAGUUACAGUUGUUGGCUACCGUGUGGGUGUCCUCUGGAAGAGCAGUCAGGGCUCUUAACCACUGAGCCAUCUCUACAGCUCCUACCCAUGUACUAGUAAGAUUCUGAUUUCCCAGGGUUGAGAGACUUGCUCUACCAAGGUUUUCUCAUGUAAGGAGAGGUAGUGCUCAUGCCUGCCCUUCCCUCCACUCCACGCUAUGGAGCGCUUAAGGAGCCUUCCUAGAUUUGCAGAGGCCAUUGGGGGUUGUGUUUUCUAUAUGGGAAGGUUACAAUCAGUAUAUCUUCUAAAUGCCUGACAGGUUUUUAUUUUUUAUUUUUUAUUUUGGUUUUUCGAGACAGGGUUUCUCUGUGUAGCUUUGGAGCCUAUCCUGGCACUCGCUCUGGAGACCAGGCUGGCCUCGAACUCACAGAGAUCGGCCUGCCUCUGCCUCCCGAGUGCUGGGAUUAAACGAGUGCGCCACCAACGCCUGGCCAGGCAGGUAUCUUAAUUGGUUAUAAUUUCCCAUCCCAAAUCAACAUUGACUAUCAUACUUAAUUUUCUGUUCCUAAUUUUACAUUUUUCUAAAAAAAUUCCUUAAUACUUCGUAAGUUCCCAUUCCAAUAAAACUUGAUCCACACCUAUCUAUCCUUAGAACUGUUUUUGAUAAUAUGCAGGAAACUCUGAACACGGCAGGUGGAAAUUCAUGAGCCUUCAAUAAAUGUUAGCUGUAAUUAAAGGUCCAUAAACUAAACAUCAAAGCAGUAAGCCGCCAAGAAGACAGCAGAAUCCAUACCACUGAAAAAACAGAAGGCACACCCCAGAGCAUGAAAUACAUAGUUGAAAAAAAGUUGGACAUGAUUCUUUAACUCAAGAAUGAAGAUCAGAAAGUCUUCUCCAAGCUCCACUCCUAAAACAACCAGAGGAUCCUAUCUCUUCCUGUGCCUUUGGCAAGUAUUAAGCACUGUUAAAUUUCUGUGUUUAUGAUAUGCUGUUUAUGUUUGUAAGGACUUCUGUUGUUUAUAUUCCUGUGAUAAACACACCAGGGGUGGGGGGAGGGAAGACUUCACUUCCUAAUUAGAAGUAUUGACCUCUCUGUUGCCCAUGUUACUUUAGACAAAGACUAUCAGUUAUAUAGCUAACUGAACUACCUUCAUGCCUGAACCAGCCAUCUGGAAUACUCCAUGGACACCUUGAGACAACUAGGUAAAAGAUUGCAGUUGACAGCACUUAGGAGGUAGAGGUGGAGGGAACAGGAGUUCAAGGUCAGUCUCUCCAUAGCAAGUUCAAGGAUAGCCUGGGCUAUACUGAGUUGUUUUGUUUUUGUUUUUGUUUUCCUCCUGUCAAGAAGGAAAAAGAGCUGGAGAGAUGGCUCAGUGGAUAAAGUACUUGCUUUGAAAAUGUG
ensembl:lncRNA